rnacentral:lncRNA from 1 species
CCUGGAGAUCCUGCAGCUUUGGAUCAGCAGCACUGGCCCUAUUUAUGCUUCCCAACUGUUCACAGAUGCUAUAAAUUUUGGGAUGAGCCAACUCUGAUGGAUCUAGUGGUAGCUGAGCUGGUCAGCACAUUGACUCUCCCUUAUGAGGUCCACCAGGACAAGCCCUCCAGCACUGCUCCAGCCAGACCACCUAAUGUCCAUCACCAAGAGGCAGGCAGGGACCACUUGGAUUUUUGAGAGAAAAACAGUACUCUGAUUGUGGUCAGAGGAAGCUUGGAAUGGAUAGUGAUUAACAGGAUGCAGCAGUGUUAACUGGGAAGACAGAUAGAUACAUUGACACAGAGACAAGAAUGUCAACAUCCUCUAAA